rnacentral:rRNA from 1 species
CCCUUAGACGUUCUGGGCCGCACGCGCGCUACACUGACCAGUGCAACAAGCAUCCGUCCUUGGCCGACAGGCCCGGGCAAUCUUUGAACGCUGGUCGUGAUGGGGAUAGAUCCUUGCAAUUUUUGAUCUUCAACGAGGAAUUCCUAGUAAACGCAAGUCAUCAGCUUGCAUUGAUUACGUCCCUGCCCUUUGUACACACCGCCCGUCGCACCUACCGAUUGAAUGGUCCGGUGAAUCUUUAGGACUGUGGCUGAGGCCUUGCCUUGUGCGGGUCUGGCCGUGGGAAUUUAGUUAAACCUUACCAUUUAGAGGAAGGUGAAGUCGUAACA